rnacentral:rRNA from 1 species
GAUGAACGCUGGCGGCGUGCCUAAUACAUGCAAGUCGAGCGAAGCGGGCACGGGUGAGUAACACGUGGAUAACCUCCCCUAUCACUGGGAUAACUUCGGGAAACCGGAGCUAAACCGGAUAUUUAUACAUGGAUCCGGGCUGCAUUAGCUAGUUGGUAAGGUAACGGCUUACCAAGGCAACGAUGCAUAGCCGACCUGAGAGGGGGAUCGGCAACACGGGAACGGAGAAAGGGUCCAGACUCCUACGGGAGGCAGAAGUGGGGAAUCUUCCGCAAGGGGCGAAAGCCUGACGGGGCAACGCGGCGUAAGUGAGGAAGGUCUUCGGAUCGUAAAACUCUGUAAUUAGGGAAGCGGUACCUAAUCAGAAAGCCACGGCUAACUACGUGCCAGCAGCCGCGGUAAUAC